CCCAUCCUCCAAAGCCGCCCAAGCCUCCUGUCGUAAAGCCUCCUUAUGUGCCCAAACCUCCAGUUGUAAAGCCUCCGCCUCAUAUACCGAAGCCUCCCUAUGUACCCAAACCUCCUGUUGUAAAGCCUCCGCCUCAUGCACCGAAGCCUCCCUAUGUACCCAAACCUCCUGUAGUAAAGCCUCCGCCUUACACCCCGAAGCCUCCCUAUGUACCCAAACCUCCAGUUGUAAAGCCUCCACCCUAUACACCAAAACCUCCAGUUGUAAAGCCUCCACCUUAUCCACCAAAACCUCCAGUUGUAAAACCACCCUACGUGCCGGUGCCCACGCCACCAUAUGUACCCAAGCCCCCAC
rnacentral:lncRNA from 1 species